rnacentral:misc_RNA from 1 species
GAAAUGCGAUAAGUAAUGUGAAUUGCAGAAUUCAGUGAAUCAUCGAAUCUUUGAACGCACCUUGCGCUCCUUGGUAUUCCUUGGAGCAUGCCUGUUUGAGUAUCAUGAAAUCUUCAAAGUAAAUCUUUUGUUAACUCAAUUGGUUUCUACUUUGGUAUUGGAGGUCUUUGCAGCUUCACACCUGCUCCUCUUUGUUCAUUAGCUGGAUCUCAGUGUUAUGCUUGGUUCCACUCGGCGUGAUAAGUUAUCUAUCGCUGAGGACACUGUAAAAGGUGGCCAAGGUAAAUGCAGAUGAACCGCUUCUAAUAGUCCAUUGACUUGGACAAUACUUUUAUGAUCUGAUCUCAAAUCAGGUACGACUACCCGCUGACCUUAAGC